rnacentral:lncRNA from 1 species
GUUUUGUUUGUUUGUUUCUUUGCAGCUGAAGCUGACCUGCCCCAGUUCCCCUGUGGCAAGGCUGGAAGCUGAUUUCUCUACUAUUUAGUGCCUCCUCUUAAAAAGGAAGGGGAUUAAGUGAGUAGCUUUUGUUCUAUCUCCAGUGAAAUUGGGAUACUCUUAACUUCCAGGUGUUAGUUGAAGUCACUGGAAGAAAAGUGGAACACUUUUGAACAUGUCUUUAAUCUUUAUUUUCAAGUUCUUCUAAAAAGUUUCCUAUGAAAGUUCUCUAAGGAAAGGGAGUGGGUGAUUAAGUAAAGGAGUCAUUGCUAGAGCCUUUCCCUCUUGUCCAGAUGCCUCUUGCUUGCUAAGCUUGGGGGAAGUUUGGAGCAAUAAACUUCUCUUAAACCAGAAGAGAGCCACCUUCACAGAAGGAAAGUCUUUUACACAAGCAAAUAUGGAUAAAUUCACAUAAAUUCAUAUACGAAUUCAUACACUUUUGAGAGGUUAGUUUGAUCCAAUGUAUUUUGAAUUUCCAACUGGAGGGGACUCCUUUGCAGAUAUGUCCAAUCCACUUGCACAGUUACUUCAGCUCAGAGUGUUGAGAAGCUGUGUGUUAGGUUACAUCUCUCAGCAGCUAACAUUGCACAUAGGGGUGCGGUCAAACUGUAUCUUCUUAUGCUGUUCUCACUGCCAGGGAAUGGCCUACACUUUUACAAGAUCACUCUCCUAAUAAUCAGACCAAUGCCAAAUGGCUUCUCAGCUCUCCUAUACAAGAUUCUGAUGCUAGGAAUAUUUUCUCAAAGGCGCUAUCUAUUAUACCUUUAAUAUGUAUGAUACAUUGUAGUGUGAUUAGGGAAUCGAAGUCAGCUGGGCAUCUGAAUUAGACCCUGUCUCAAACACAGGAAAUAAUCAGGAUUGUAUUUGUGAUAGGCUUGCAGACUCCAGUUUUUCUUUCUUUUACAAAUUAAUC